CGCAAACAGAUCAGCUGCAAAGUGCUACAGCUUCUACUAUUACCACUGACAGUGGAGGGACCUCAAAGAAAAGUCAUCGUCAUCUAAAAAGCCAACAGCUUGUCCAGUGAUAGGAAACAGCAUGGAAAGAAAGUGAAGUAAAAAGAAAGGAGAACUCUAAAAGAAACAGGCCCGCUUAUCUUUUCCAAACUUCUCGCAAGUGAUGUUUAAGUGCCUGCAAGCCAAUAUCAUACAAAGUCUGGAAGCCUGGCAACAACCGCUUCUCACAGUAAUCUCUAGUAAUAAAAAGCUGUACUUCUUCAUAAAAGUUACAUGCCUGUCAAGGAGUGCAAGGCAUUCCCCCACUUUCUUCUCUGUGAUACUGGGAGGAAUAUUGGUUGGAAAGCAGGAGUGGUAGCCUUGGUUAAAGGCAUGAAAAUGACCUUCAGAUGACUUCAUUAGCAAGUGAUGAUUAUGCUCAAAUGUCCUUUGAGAUUGUCAUUUGAUUCUGUGUGCCUGAUUACCUGCUGGCAGCUGGAACACAUUUCUGAUUUAAUUUCACUCAAAGGGAAUCCAGUAUGUGUGCUCUGAGACCACUAAGUGCUAUAAACCAAUGUGCAGUAAGCAAGGACAAUCAGAAGGUUUGCUUCAAAAAUUCACUAUUGAUCUGAACUAGAAUGCUAAUGUUAACCCCUGAAGACUUACUAUCAAGGUCCUGGAGUAACUCUCUUCGGAGGCAACCUAAAUAAAAAUUAAGCAUUAUCUGAAAACUUAUCUACUCCUUUUUUUUUUUUUUUUUUCCCACUUGGUCCUAGCUUCCCCAUAAGCAUUCAUAAAGUCAUAGAACCAUAGAAUUGUUCAGGUUGAGAAAGGCCUUAAAGAUCAUUAAGCCCAACCUUAACCUAACCAUACUACCCUAACCCUAACAACCCUCCGCUAAAUCAUGUCCCUGAGCACCACAUCCAAACAGCUUUUAAACACAGCCAGGGAUGGUGACUCAACCACCUCCCUGGGGAGCCUGCUCCAGUGCUUAACUACCCUUUCAGUAAAGAUUUUCAUGAUAUCCAACCUAAACUUACCCUGGCUCAACUCGAGGCCAUUUCCCCUCAUCCUGUCAUUCUGUGUUUCUUUCAAAUUCUCCUUACAAAUUUUCUUAGC
ensembl:lncRNA